rnacentral:rRNA from 1 species
GAGACAGCAGCAGCCACGGGAAUACAGAGGGUGCGAGCGUUAAUCGGAUUUACUGGGCGUAAAGCGUGCGUAGGCGGCUUCUUAAGUCGGAUGUGAAAUCCCUGAGCUUAACUUAGGAAUUGCAUUCGAUACUGGGAAGCUAGAGUAUGGGAGAGGAUGGUAGAAUUCCAGGUGUAGCGGUGAAAUGCGUAGAGAUCUGGAGGAAUACCGAUGGCGAAGGCAGCCAUCUGGCCUAAUACUGACGCUGAGGUACGAAAGCAUGGGGAGCAAACAGGAUUAGAUACCCGCGUAGUCCCUGUCUCUUAUAA